CGAACGGAGAGCGUAUGACAGAGGAUUCGUCCAAUGGAUUACGUGUCUUAGUGGCGGACGGGUGAGUAACGCGUGAGGAACCUGCCUCGGAGUGGGGAAUAACACAACGAAAGCUGUGCUAAUACCGCAUAAUGCAGCUGGGUCGCAUGACUCUGGCUGCCAAAGAUUUAUCGCUCUGAGAUGGCCUCGCGUCUGAUUAGCUGGUUGGCGGGGUAACGGCCCACCAAGGCGACGAUCAGUAGCCGGACUGAGAGGUUGGCCGGCCACAUUGGGACUGAGACACGGCCCAGACUCCUACGGGAGGCAGCAGUGGGGAAUAUUGGGCAAUGGGCGCAAGCCUGACCCAGCAACGCCGCGUGAAGGAAGAAGGCCCUCGGGUUGUAAACUUCUUUUGUCAGGGACGAAGCAAGUGACGGUACCUGACGAAUAAGCCACGGCUAACUACGUGCCAGCAGCCGCGGUAAUACGUAGGUGGCAAGCGUUAUCCGGAUUUACUGGGUGUAAAGGGCGUGUAGGCGGGAUUGCAAGUCAGAUGUGAAAACCACGGGCUCAACCUGUGGCCUGCAUUUGAAACUGCAGUUCUUGAGUACUGGAGAGGCAGACGGAAUUCCUAGUGUAGCGGUGAAAUGCGUAGAUAUUAGGAGGAACACCAGUGGCGAAGGCGGUCUGCUGGACAGCAACUGACGCUGAGGCGCGAAAGCGUGGGGAGCAAACAGG
rnacentral:rRNA from 1 species